rnacentral:rRNA from 1 species
GCAACCUACCUUCCCGUGGGGGAUAGCCCUCCGAAAGGAGGAUUAAUACCGCAUAAGACCAUUUGAGGGCAUCCGAAGAUGGUGAAAGCUGAGGCGGUGGAAGAUGGGCAUGCGUGCCAUUAGCUUGUUGGUGUGGUAACGGCGCACCAAGGCAACGAUGGCUAGGGGUUCUGAGAGGAUGGUCCCCCACACUGGUACUGAGACACGGACCAGACUCCUACGGGAGGCAGCAGUAGGGAAUAUUGGGCAAUGGCCGAGAGGCUGACCCAGCCAUGCCGCGUGCAGGAAGAAGGCCUUCUGGGUUGUAAACUGCUUUUACCAGGGAAGAAAACGCUCCUGCGGGAGUAACUGACGGUACCUGGUGAAUAAGCACCGGCUAACUCCGUGCCAGCAGCCGCGGUAAUACGGAGGGUGCAAGCGUUGUCCGGAUUUAUUGGGUUUAAAGGGUGCGUAGGCGGCCCGUUAAGUCAGCGGUGAAAUCCCACGGCUCAACCGUGGAACUGCCGUUGAUACUGGCGGGCUUGAGUUCGGUCGAGGCGGGCGGAACUGGUGGUGUAGCGGUGAAAUGCUUAGAUACCACCAAGAACCCCGAUUGCGUAGGCAGCUCGCUGGGCCGAAACUGACGCUGAGGCACGAAAGCGUGGGGAGCGAACAGGAUUAGAUACCCUGGUAGUCCACGCCGUAAACGAUGAUGACUCGAUGUUAGCGAUAUACAGUUAGCGUCCAAGCGAAAGCGUUAAGUCAUCCACCUGGGGAGUACGCCCGCAAGGGUGAAACUCAAAGGAAUUGACGGGGGCCCGCACAAGCGGUGGAGCAUGUGGUUUAAUUCGAUG